ACUUGGAGUGAAGCAGUAAACUCAUUUCCCAGUGUUAAAGGCAGCAAGGACAAGGCCAGUGGUCCAGCUAUCUUAAGAUUUAAAGCUGAUUUAUGGAGUCACUCCAAAGAGACAGGAAUCGUCCAUCCCUGGAGAUGGGAGAGUACCAAAGGACCUGUUUAUCUUAGAAAGAGCCCAACCUCCCGGUUUUACAAGAACACGGGAGACACAGAGGAAAGUUAGUGAUUGACUGGGGAGGGCCCAGCCCACUGUGGAUGGUAACACCCCUGGACUGGCGGUCCUGGGUCCUGUAAGAAGGCAAGCCAGGAUGAGCAAGACAGUAAGCAUCACCCCUCUACAGCCUCUGCAUCAGCUUCUUCCUCCAGGUUCCUGCCCUGUUCUAGUUCCUAUCCUGUCUUCCUUCAUUGAUAAACAGCAAUGUAGAAGUAUAAGCC